ACAAUGCGAGGAAUCAUGUGAGUAAUGUGUACAAAAUAAUCUUACAAUGUGUUUAUCAAUGAAUUAAUUAAUUAACACAUUGCCUUUUCGCUUGAUAAUAUUAUGUUAGGUAGUGCUUUAUUGCUUAAUACUAUUCCUAUAUUUGAAAAAUGCGUUUAACCACAAUUAUUAUGCAAUCUAUUGCCUUUACAGUAUUUUUGC